GUGCCAGCAGCCGCGGUAAUACGUAGGGAGCGAGCGUUGUCCGGAUUUAUUGGGCGUAAAGAGCUCGUAGGCGGUUUGGUAAGUCGGGUGUGAAAGCUCCGGGCUCAACUCGGAGAGGUCACUCGAUACUGCCAUGACUGGAGUCCGGUAGGGGGGUGUGGAAUUCCCAGUGUAGCGGUGAAAUGCGCAGAUAUUGGGAGGAACACCAAUGGCGAAGGCAGCACCCUGGGCCGGUACUGACGCUGAGGAGCGAAAGCGUGGGGAGCAAACAGGAUUAGAAACCCGCGUAGUCC
rnacentral:rRNA from 1 species